CUUUUUAUUUUUAAAGACCUUUUUCGGAAGGUAUGCUUAAAGAGGGGCUUGCGUCACAUUAGUUAGUUGGCAGGGUAAAGGCCUACCAAGACUAUGAUGUGUAGCUGGACUGAGAGGUUGAACAGCCACAUUGGGACUGAGACACGGCCCAAACUCCUACGGGAGGCAGCAGUAGGGAAUUUUCGGCAAUGGAGGAAACUCUGACCGAGCAACGCCGCGUGAACGAUGAAGUAUUUCGGUAUGUAAAGUUCUUUUAUUGAAGAAGAAAAAAUAGUGGAAAAACUAUCUUGACGAUAUUCAAUGAAUAAGCCCCGGCAAACUAUGUGCCAGCAGCCGCGGUAAUACAUAGGGGGCGAGCGUUAUCCGGAAUUAUUGGGCGUAAAGGGUGCGUAGGCGGUUUAAUAAGUCUAUAGUUUAAUUUCAGUGCUUAACACUGUCCUGCUAUAGAAACUAUUAGACUAGAGUGAGAUAGAGGCAAGUGGAAUUCCAUGUGUAGCGGUAAAAUGCGUAAAUAUAUGGAGGAACACCAGAGGCGUAGGCGGCUUGCUGGGUCUUUACUGACGCUGAGGCACGAAAGCGUGGGGAGCAAACAGGAUUAGAUACCCUGGUAGUCCACGCCGUAAACGAUGAGUACUAAGUGUCGGGAUUACUCGGUACUGAAGUUAACACAUUAAGUACUCCGCCUGAGUAGUACGUACGCAAGUAUGAAACUUAAAGGAAUUGACGGGACUCCGCACAAGCGGUGGAUCAUGUUGUUUAAUUUGAAGAUACACGAAAAACCUUACCAGGUCUUGACAUACUCUGCAAAGCUAUAGCAAUAUAGUGGAGGUUAUCAGGGAUACAGGUGGUGCAUGGUUGUCGUCAGCUCGUGUCGUGAGAUGUUAGGUUAAGUCCUAAAACGAGCGCAACCCUUGUCAUUAGUUGCCAGCAUGUCAUGAUGGGCACUUUAAUGAGACUGCCAAUGAAAAAUUGGAGGAAGGUGAGGAUCACGUCAAAUCAUCAUGCCCCUUAUGAUCUGGGCUACAAACGUGAUACAAUGGCUGUUACAAAGAGUAGCUGAAACGCAAGUUUAUAGCCAAUCUCAUAAAAGCAGUCUCAGUUCGGAUUGAAGUCUGCAACUCGACUUCAUGAAGUUGGAAUCGCUAGUAAUCGCGAAUCCAGCAGUUCGGCG
rnacentral:rRNA from 1 species